GCCUCAGUGGCUUAGCGGUAUAGCGGCUGAUUUGUAAUCAGCAGGUCACGAGUUCGAUUCUCGUCUGAGGCU
rfam:Methanoplanus limicola DSM 2279 chromosome, whole genome shotgun sequence.